UGAGGAAUAUUGGUCAAUGGGCGAGAGCCUGAACCAGCCACGUCGCGUGAAGGAAGACUGACCUUACGGUUUGUAAACUUCUUUUGUAGAGGGGUAAUGGCAGAUACGUGUAUUUGCGUGAAAGUACUCUACGAAUAAGCAUCGGCUAACUCCGUGCCAGCAGCCGCGGUAAUACGGGGGAUGCGAGCGUUAUCCGGAAUUAUUGGGUUUAAAGGGUGCGCAGGUGGCUAAUCAGGUCAGUGGUGAAAAGCUAUCGCUCAACCAUGGUCUUGCCAUUGAAACCGUAUAGCUAGAGAGGAGACGAGGUAGGCGGAAUGUGUGGUGUAGCGGUGAAAUGCAUAGAUAUCACACAGAACUCCGAUUGCGAAGGCAGCUUACCAGGCUUUAUCUGACACUUAGGCACGACAGCGUGGGGAUCAAACAGG
rnacentral:rRNA from 1 species